rnacentral:rRNA from 1 species
AGGGUUUGAUCCUGGCUCAGGACGAACGCUGGCGGCGUGCUUAACACAUGCAAGUCGAGCGAUGAAGCACCUUCGGGUGUGAAUUAGCGGCGAACGGGUGAGGAACACGUGAAGAAUCUGCCUUCAACUCUGGGAUAACUCCGGGAAACCGGGGCUAAUACCGGAUAUGAGCCUUGAUCGCAUGAUCGGGGCUGGAAAGUUUUUCGGUUGAAGAUGACUUCGCGGCCUAUCAGCUUGUUGGUGAGGUAAUGGCUCACCAAGGCGACGACGGGUAGCCGGCCUGAGAGGGCGACCGGCCACACUGGGACUGAGACACGGCCCAGACUCCUACGGGAGGCAGCAGUGGGGAAUAUUGGGCAAUGGAGGAAACUCUGACCCAGCGACGCCGCGUGAGGGAUGAAGGCCUUCGGGUUGUAAACCUCUUUCAGUAGGGAAGAAGCGAAAGUGACGGUACCUACAGAAGAAGCACCGGCUAACUAUGUGCCAGCCGCCGCGGUAAUACA